GAUGAACGCUGGCGGCGUGCUUAACACAUGCAAGUCGAGUGAAGCGCUUAAGUUUGAUUCUUCGGAUGAAGACUUUUGUGACUGAGCGGCGGACGGGUGAGUAACGCGUGGGUAACCUGCCUCAUACAGGGGGAUAACAGUUAGAAAUGACUGCUAAUACCGCAUAAGACCACAGGGUCGCAUGACCCAGUGGUAAAAACUCCGGUGGUAUGAGAUGGACCCGCGUCUGAUUAGCUAGUUGGUGGGGUAACGGCUCACCAAGGCGACGAUCAGUAGCCGACCUGAGAGGGUGACCGGCCACAUUGGGACUGAGACACGGCCCAAACUCCUACGGGAGGCAGCAGUGGGGAAUAUUGCACAAUGGGGGAAACCCUGAUGCAGCGACGCCGCGUGAAGGAUGAAGUAUUUCGGUAUGUAAACUUCUAUCAGCAGGGAAGAAAAUGACGGUAC
rnacentral:rRNA from 1 species